UUAGUAAGUUUCUCUAUAUUU
rnacentral:piRNA from 1 species